rnacentral:rRNA from 1 species
CCGGCAACCGGCGCACGGGUGAGUAACACGUAUGCAACCUGGCCGUGACAGAUGGAUAACCGGGAGAAAUCCCGCCUAAUACAACAUAAUGCCGGGAGGGGACAUCCCCUGCCGGCCAAAGGGGGCGACCCCGGUCACGGAUGGGCAUGCGGCGCAUUAGGUAGUUGGUGGGGCAACGGCCCACCAAGCCGACGAUGCGUAGGGGUUCUGAGAGGAAGGUCCCCCACAUUGGAACUGAGACACGGUCCAAACUCCUACGGAAGGCAGCAG